AAAUAAGUUGGAAUACAAUCAAUACUCCAGUCUUUUCUUCAUUAGUGGAAACCCUGGCAAAACCCCAGUUUAUCACCAAAGAAAUCAACACGAAAUGGUGAUACAUAAAUUCAAGCUCUUAACCACAAACAGCCGUCAGAUUUCCGGUAGUUCUCAGAUUUUCCGGCGUCUCUGUACCUCUAUGUCUGAGAAACCGCCGGCAGUUCCCCGGGAACUCGACAAACAUACUCUUUACAGUAGAUUGUCGUCUAUUUGGUCCACCGGCGAGAAAAUUCCCGACAUUUUGGACCAGUUUUCGAGAAACAACAGCAAUAAAUCGACGAAAUAUAAUGAUGAUCUUGUUUUUUGCAUUAAGAAGUUCCGUAAGUACCGCCGCUACCAGAAUUGCCUUGAGAUUCUGGAAUGGAUGGAGAAGAGUAAAAUGGACCAUUCAGAGCAUGGAUUACACUUGAAUAUACUUUGUAAAGUUAAGGGUAUUGAUGAAGCAGAGAAGUUCUUUGAUAGUCUUCCUCCUGGUGUGAAAAAAGGCUUCCUGUAUGGAGCUCUUUUAAAUUGCUACUGUUCUAAUAAGAUGACUGAUAAAGCAUUGGCUAUUUUUGAAAAAAUGGAUGAGAUGAAAUAUGCAUCGAAUGAUGUGGCCUUUAGCAAUCUUAUGUGUCUCUAUAUGAAAGUAGAACAGCCUGAGAAAGUGCCUCCUCUUAUAGAGGAGAUGAAACGGAGAAACAUUCCUUUAAGUAGUAUCUCAUAUCAAACAUGGAUGCAGAGCUAUGCGUGUUGUAAUGAUCUUGAAGGUGUAGAACGAGUGAUGAACGAGGCUCAAAAACAUGAAUCGAUUAAAGAUGAGUGGAAAUUAUACGCCAACUUUGCCUCAGCAUAUAUCAAGGCUGGUCAGAAUCAGAAAGCUCAUCCAUCUUUGAAAAAGGCAGAGGAAAUUUUAGAUGCAAUAUAUCCUGACCGUAUAGCGUAUCAUCAUCUGAUUAGCUUGUAUGCUAGUGUUGGUGAUUUAGAGUCUGUUACUCGGGCAUGGGGUAAACUGAAGUCAAAAUUCAAAGCUUGUAACAACAUAAGCUAUAUAUGUAUGCUUCACGCCCUAUCAAAGGUUGACAAUAUUGAGCAGCUGAAAAUUUGCUUUGAGGAGUGGAAGUCUAAAUACCAGAGUUAUGAUCUCAGGAUUCCAAGUAUUGUUAUAGGUGCUUACCUGAGGCAUGAUAUGCUUGAGGAGGCUGAACAGCUGCUAAAGGAUGCUACAGAAAGAUCUGGGAAAAAAGUAUGGAAUGCACACGUCUCUUUCAUGUACUACUUCUUGAGGAAACGCCUGAUUAAUUCUGCUUUUAGGCAUUUGGAAGUGGCAAUGGCUAACCAAUGGAAGCCACUUGAUGGAAGUCUUGAUCCUUUUAUUGAGUAUUUUAUAGAAGAGAAGGAUGUUUAUAGCGCUAAACAAUUUUGUCAAAUUUUAGGGAAAGGUCAUCCCCUCCUUUCGAGUGCCUACUUGGGAUUGCUUCGGACUUAUGCAGCGGCUGGGAAAACAGCGCCUGAAUUGCGUCAGAUGUUGGUGCAAGAUGGAGCAAAUAUUGGAACUGAGCAUAAGGAAUUGCUUGAGAAGUUAUGAGCUCCAUUCAUUCAAGCAUGAAGGUCCUCUCAAAUUAUUACUAGCCCAUCCUCCCCUAACCUUGGGUUCUUUAUUGGAUACGACUUGGUGGGAUUGUGCCCGAGCGGCCGAGCCUUCAACACUUUUUAUCUUGGUAAAAAACAAGAUAAUGAAGUAAACUGAGGUUGGACGGAAGCAGAUUCAGGUUUCUUCUCCACCUAUUGCAGGUCAUAAAUGAGUGAAGUGAUGUGGUUAGAAGAUCAGAGGCAGAACAUCUUAUGCACACAUGUCAUGAUGAUCGAGUUGGAACACUUAAGAUGAUGGAAGAAGAUGCUGCAACUGUCGGAAGUGAACACAAGGAGUCAAAGUACACAAAGGUAUGCCUUAACUGAAUUAGGAGUUGAAGGUUCCUUGACUUAGAAUAUUUCGUGAUCUCAAAUGAUUUGGUAUUUGGGAAAACUUAAUCUCGUAGAUUAAUGAUAAUUAGUCUUUCUGUCUUC